rnacentral:rRNA from 1 species
GACGAACGCUGGCGGCGUGGAUUAGGCAUGCAAGUCGAACGGUGGUUAUUUUGUAGUAAUACGAAGUGAUCAUAGUGGCGAACGGGUGAGUAACGCGUUGGUGAUCUGCCUCGAAGUGUGGAAUAACGUUCCGAAAGGAGCACUAAUACCGCAUAGUCUUCCAGUUUUUAGAAAGCCGGAAGUAAAGGAUUUAUUCGCUUCGAGAGGGGCCUGCGUCCCAUCAGCUAGUUGGUAAGGUAACGGCUUACCAAGGCUAUGACGGGUAGGGGACCUGAGAGGGUGGCCCCCCACAAUGGAACUGAAACACGGUCCAUACACCUACGGGUGGCAGCAGUAGGGAAUAUUAGUAAUGGGCGAAAGCCUGAACUAGCGACACCGCGUGUGCGAAGAAGGCCUUCGGGUUGUAAAGCACUUUUAGAGAGGAUGAGGAAGGACGGUACGUCUCUGAAUAAGUCUCGGCUAACUACGUG